rnacentral:rRNA from 1 species
UACAGAGGGUGCGAGCGUUAAUCGGAAUUACUGGGCGUAAAGCGCACGUAGGUGGCGACGUAAGUCGGGUGUGAAAGCCCCGGGCUCAACCUGGGAAUUGCAUUCGAGACUGCAUUGCUGGAGUACGGAAGAGGAGGGCAGAAUUCCCGGUGUAGCGGUGAAAUGCGUAGAUAUCGGGAGGAACAUCAGUGGCGAAGGCGGCCCUCUGGUCCAGUACUGACACUCAAGUGCGAAAGCGUGGGGAGCAAACAGG